rnacentral:rRNA from 1 species
GCCAUCAGGUCAAGCUGGGGACUCUAAUGAAACUGCCUACGCAAGUAGUGAGGAAGUGGGGAUGACGUCAAAUCAGCACGGCCCUUACGUCCAGGGCUACACACGUGCUACAAUGGCCGGUACAAAGGGCAGCUACCUGGUGACAGGAUGCUAAUCUCAAAAGCCGGUCUCAGUUCGGAUCGGAGUCUGCAACCCGACUCCGUGAAGUUGGAUUCGCUAGUAAUCGCGCAUCAGCCAUGGCGCGGUGAAUACGUUCCCGGGCCUU